rnacentral:tRNA from 2 species
GGCCCCAUCGUCUAGCGGUCUAGGACAUUGCCUUUUCAAGGCAGUAACCGGGGUUCGAGUCCCCGUGGGGUCACCA